AGUGAACCCUGUUCAUUAUCAGUAUAUUUACCUACCUAUUUAUGUUGUAUUAAUUGCGAGUCCCAAGAUCUAUAACGUAAUUCUCAACUACAUGUACUGUCUUUCACCUCGACAAAUUGUCAAAAAAUUUGAUCAAAUGAAUUGAGAGAAGAAUGUCACUUGAUAUUUUCAACACUGUUGUAAAAAAUAUUCCUUACUUUUAUAAAUCUUUAUUUUUUCAUUCAAUUCUUUUUUUGAGCUUUUUAAAAGAGCAUUUUAUUUUACCUCGUCAUAUACUUUAUAUUAGUAUUAAGAAUUUGAAAGAGGUAUUACUGGCUUUAUAAGUCUUAAUAUUUGAAACAAAUAAAUAAUACAUAACCUUGGUACAUUUGUGUAGAGUUAAAUCUCAUCAAUAGCUAUUAAUCAGUUAAAAUAUACUAUGUACAUAUUUGGUUACACUUAUAUUUCAUGAAUAGCUAUUAAUCAGCUUGAAUAUACUGUGUACCAAAACAGUAUCGAAUCAAACAGUAUUUAAAUGAAGAGUACUUAGUCAUGCUUUUCAAGACUCAGUCAUUGUACAUGGAAUUGUUAUGAUUUCAUUUUACUGCUUUAUUUUGUUCCUUUUUGGUGAACACUGUUGAUAGGUUAUUGUUUAUAAAGCCAGCUCCUAAAUUCUUACAUCAUUUUCCUAGUUGUUUACAUUUCACAGCUACCUUGCACUUGUAAGCGGACAUGAUCCUGCAAUAUCUUGUUUUCAACAUUCUUCCAAAUGCUUUAUGGCACUUAGACUGCCAAUAAGUGAGUGAAAUUAAAUACCAUCAAAUAGAGAGAACCACUGUUAAUGGAUCAUUUACAGAUACAUGUUUUUGCUGUAUGAUAUUCAAAGCUUACUCAGUGCUGAAGACAGGGAAUGUAUUGUGAAGCAAUGCAAGGUAGCUGGUGUUUCAAGGGAAAUAAUCCCUAUGUAGAUGCUAAGUAAUAAUUUUGGUGCUUGUUUUUCUUCCCUAUGUUACAACUGUUAAAAAUUUGUAUAUUUUUUAAUAAAGAUUUUUAAAAUCCCAA
rnacentral:misc_RNA from 1 species